rnacentral:rRNA from 1 species
AGACCUUCGGGUCUAGUGGCGCACGGGUGCGUAACGCGUGGGAACCUGCCCUUAGGUUCGGAAUAACUCAGAGAAAUUUGAGCUAAUACCGGAUAAUGUCUUCGGACCAAAGAUUUAUCGCCUUUGGAUGGGCCCGCGUAGGAUUAGCUUGUUGGUGGGGUAAUGGCCUACCAAGGCGACGAUCCUUAGCUGGUCUGAGAGGAUGAUCAGCCACACUGGGACUGAGACACGGCCCAGACUCCUACGGGAGGCAGCAGUGGGGAAUAUUGGACAAUGGGCGAAAGCCUGAUCCAGCAAUGCCGCGUGAGUGAUGAAGGCCUUAGGGUUGUAAAGCUCUUUUACCCGGGAUGAUAAUGACAGUACCGGGAGAAUAAGCUCCGGCUAACUCCGUGCCAGCAGCCGCGGUAAUACGGAGGGAGCUAGCGUUGUUCGGAAUUACUGGGCGUAAAGCGCACGUAGGCGGCGAUUCAAGUCAGAGGUGAAAGCCCGGGGCUCAACCCCGGAACUGCCUUUGAAACUAGAUUGCUAGAAUCCUGGAGAGGUUAGUGGAAUUCCGAGUGUAGAGGUGAAAUUCGUAGAUAUUCGGAAGAACACCAGUGGCGAAGGCGACUAACUGGACAGGUAU